UGAGCCUCACCAUGAGACUCCACGAGACUGUGGUGAAUGUUGCAUUCUGCUGUUCUCCCUUUGUCCAGCUUUUGCUGUUCUCUCCUCUCUCCUCUCCUCUCUUCUGGUGUAUCAUCUCUGUCGGAAAAAAGCUAAAGACCUUCAAGCUGAUCAGAGAAGACCUGAAACAAGCCCGCAUCAGGAUGAAGAUGUGUGUUAUGCUGCGCUGGAAAUCCGCCAGGCAUCACAGAGACCAAAGAAGAAGAAAACCCAGAGUUCUGACUUCAGCACCUAUUCAGCCAUCAAUACUUCUAGGGUGUAGAGAGUCUAAAACAAAACCACAACCAUUACUAUAAAACAUCUAAGGAUGGGAUCAAACCAAGCGCAACACCAAAUCAGGCCAUGUAGCUGUAAAGUGUGAGGUGGAAAUGGCCUCUUCACCCCCCUUUCGGUUUUCCGUUUGAUCACAACUACACAUCUAUAAAGUUUCCUGAAUGCACAGUUACGACGCUAUUCAGGUCACAAAAUCUGUCCAUAGGCAUACUAACAGAUGGCAAAGUACUACAACCGCCCCUCUGUGGUAGUUCCCCCUUCAGUUGGUGUCUCCAGGACCACAUUUUGCCUUGAUGACACGCUCAGACUCUCAGGGUGAAAACAAUAGACGCCUUGCAGCUGACGGUUACUGCUGGAUGCCCCGUAUUGUCUUACAGGUUCAAGUCCACUGUCAAACUUUAACAUGCUUUCUAUAAAUCUACUGUGUGACAUCAAAAAAGUAGACCUAAAUAUUUCUUAUUAUAGACUAACGUCAAAACCCAGCUCAGAAAUGGUGUGCAGCAUUUAAGAAUGCAGAGUGAAAACCGACAGAUAGCCAUCGUCUAUGCAAUGCACAUUUUGUCUUAGGUCCCAACGCAGUAUAAUGUAUUGUAGCGAGCUAACGUUAGCUAACCUAAGUGUUAGCCGGCUGAAUCAGCAGUCUCCUGAGGGGAGAUUCCGUCAGGAUCACAUCCAAUUCUGUUCUUUGAUAUCAAGGUGAGAAAUCAGGUACCUCAGUUAACAUUGUAAACAUUAUGGUCUCAAUUACUUGUUUCAAGUCUUCUUCAAUACAGCAUGAUGUUCAUUCAGUAAAUGAUGGUUCCAUUCAGAGUCAAACAAACCAUGAAGCAGGUUAUGCUUCACGUUGUGGCUACCAUCUAGUUUUCCGGUUUUGGAGUUGUGCCUGUUUUUGUUCAAACAACUUUAAACCUUUCUCAGUGUGUUUUUCAAGCUCAUGAAAUGUAAUUGUAGCCCUUUUGAUCGCCUAAAAUGUCUUAUUCAGCGUUGGGUUGUACUUAGCUCCACCCUCCCUUGUCAUCUCUGGCUGCAAAAACAACAACAUUGUGACAGCCAAAAAACAAUAUGGUGAAGGCCUAAAGCGGCAAAUUCAAGGCUUCAAAGCGGCAGACCACAAACUUAUACAAAUUCAAUUGUAUAAAGAUCAGUAAUAUUGAAUGUAAUUCCUUUGUAGGGAUACGUAUUGGCCAUUCUGUCACUUAUAUUCUCCAAUUCAAAUCUGAGUGACAAUCAUUACCUAGAAAUGAUUUGUAUAAUAAAAUGUUAUGCAGAAAAAACUGUUGCUUUG